GUCCGGGUGGCGGAAUAGGUAGACGCGCUAGCUUGAGGUGCUAGUGCCCGAUUAAAAGGGCAUGGAGGUUCAAGUCCUCUCUCGGACA
rnacentral:tRNA from 1 species